UGGAAAUCACAAGGAAAGUAU
ensembl:piRNA 21ur-8548 ncRNA